rnacentral:rRNA from 1 species
GACAGAGGUGCCAAGCGUUAGGCGGAAUCACUGGGCUUAAAGCGUGUGUAGGCGGGUGCCUAAGUACCUUGUGAAAUCCCCCGGCUCAACCGGGGAACUGCUGGGUAUACUGGGUGCCUUGGGUCAUCUAGGGGCUGCCGGAACAAAUGGUGGAGCGGUGAAAUGCGUAGAUAUCAUUUGGAACGCCAACGGCGAAAGCAGGCAGCUGGGGAUGCACCGACGCUGAGACACGAAAGCCAGGGGAGCGAACGGG